UACGGAGGGGGCUAGCGUUGUUCGGAAUUACUGGGCGUAAAGCGCACGUAGGCGGCUUUACAAGUCAGGGGUGAAAGCCCGCGGCUCAACCGCGGAAUUGCCCUUGAGACUGUUUCGCUUGAACACGGGAGAGGUGAGUGGAAUUCCGAGUGUAGAGGUGAAAUUCGUAGAUAUUCGGAAGAACACCAGUGGCGAAGGCGGCUCACUGGACCGUAGUUGACGCUGAGGUGCGAAAGCGUGGGGAGCAAACAGG
rnacentral:rRNA from 1 species